rnacentral:rRNA from 1 species
GACGAACGCUGGCGGCGUGCCUAACACAUGCAAGUCGAACGGGGCUAGGAAAGCUUGCUUUCCGAUGCCUAGUGGCGGACGGGUGAGUAACGCGUGAGUAACCUGCCUUUCAGAGGGGAAUAACGUUCUGAAAAGAACGCUAAUACCGCAUAACGUACAGCUUUCGCAUGGAAGCAGUACCAAAGGAGCAAUCCGCUGAGAGAUGGACUCGCGUCCGAUUAGCUAGUUGGUGGGGUAAAGGCCUACCAAGGCGACGAUCGGUAGCCGGACUGAGAGGUUGAACGGCCACAUUGGGACUGGGACACGGCCCAGACUCCUACGGGAGGCAGCAGUGGGGGAUAUUGCACAAUGGGGGGAACCCUGAUGCAGCAACGCCGCGUGUGGGAAGAAGGUUUUCGGAUUGUAAACCACUGUUCUUGGUGAAGAUAAUGACGGUAACCAAGGAGAAAGCUCCGGCUAACUACGUGCCAGCAGCCGCGGUAAUACGUAGGGAGCAAGCGUUGUCCGGAUUUACUGGGUGUAAAGGGUGCGUAGGCGGCUAGGCAAGUCAGACGUGAAAACCAUGGGCUCAACCUGUGGACUGCGUUUGAAACUGUUUAGCUUGAGUGAAGUAGAGGUAGGCGGAAUUCCCGGUGUAGCGGUGAAAUGCGUAGAGAUCGGGAGGAACACCAGUGGCGAAGGCGGCCUACUGGGCUUUAACUGACGCUGAGGCACGAAAGCAUGGGUAGCAAACAGG